rnacentral:rRNA from 1 species
GGUUGAUCCUGCCAGUAGUCAUAUGCUUGUUUCAAAGAUUAAGCCAUGCAAGUGUCAGUUCCAUUGAGGAAAAAAGAAACUGCGAAUAGCUCAUUAAAAUCGUUGUAACCAAUUUGGUAAUAUUGUAGAUGGAUAUCCAUGGCAAUUCUGUGGCUAAUACAUGCUGAGUCCUUUUGGAGGCAUAUAUCAGCUUUGAAACCAAACAGCUAUACUGUAGUGGUGAUCAUGGUAGUAUGUCGAUCGUUUUCGACUCGCCGAAUGGGCUUCGAACCUAUCAGCUAUGUUGGUAAAA